UGCAGCAAGAAAACACUUUUGAUAAUUUGCAAUUUAAAUUUAAAUUUAAUAAUUUUAGUGUGUGGCUUAUAAUUGUAUGGUUGUUGUACAUAUGUGCAGGUCUAUUUUCAAUCGUCUUUUUGUGUUGUAAAGCUCAUUUAUACAUUUGUUUGGGAAGAAUUUUAAUCUUGUACUUAUUCUAUUUUUUCCUAACAAUUUGACUGUGAAGGAAAAUUCCUUACAAGCCACUGCUAUAAGGAUAUAUUGGACUGCACAUAAAGAAAGCUGGAACCAUUCGCCUCCAGAGUCUUCUCUCACGGUUAUUUAGAUUGUUGGGCAAGGACAAUUGUUUAUUCACUACAUUGGAAAGGUGAUGAGAUCAAUUGGUGCUGAAUUUUAACCCGCUUUGUUUGUUCUACCUGGACCAUUUUAAUAAUAGCAAUUUUAUGAUGAAAAUAUUAUCCAAAUUGAUUUGUAACGGGUUGGAUAAAGAGUCUUGCAAUGAAUGGACAUAAUGUGACAUAUUGAUCACACCAUUGCACAAACUUCUGGAUACCGCAUUUUGAGCGACUUUAGUUGAAAAAAUUCUUUUUCGCAUCGGAAUGUAGCUGUAUCUGAAGGAAGCCAGAAUGUUGUCUGCAGUAGUAUCCCUCCAGGAUUUGGCUUCUUUAUCACACUUGUAGACUACAGAACGCUAGCUUCUGUAUUUAAUUAAGAUUGUUCAGCAGAUGAGCAAGAAUUAAAGUUGAGUUUGUUCAUACUGAAACAACCAAUAUCUACAUGGGUGUCGUCUUUCUUGGAUUAUAUUAGUGAUUUGCUGUUUUCCUCUUCACCUUGCAACAUAAUGUAGUUAACUUUCGAUCGAUGAGGGAGACCAACUGGAGAUUUAUUUGAAUUCUACUGAAGCAACAAAUUUUCUGAUAUGGUAUUCCUCAUGGAUUUGGUUUACUUUUCACACUUGUGAACACUGGAAUGUUACAGGCUAUAGUUAAUUAAGAUCGACAGUGGAGAAGACAAAGAAGAUCCCGUAGUUAAAAUUGUUCUUUAUUUUGUAUGCUCUAUCUAAUAGAAUCAAUUCUUUAAGUUCAUUUUAUUAUAAUCAAUUUUUUAUCUUGCAUGUGUUAUAUAGUUUAUUUAAU
rnacentral:lncRNA from 1 species